rnacentral:rRNA from 1 species
GAAGCCGAUGAAGGACGUUACUAACGACGAUAUGCUUUGGGGAGCUGUAAGUAAGCUUUGAUCCAGAGAUUUCCGAAUGGGGAAACCCAGCAUGAGUUAUGUCAUGUUAUCGAUAUGUGAAUACAUAGCAUAUCAGAAGGCACACCCGGAGAACUGAAACAUCUUAGUACCCGGAGGAAGAGAAAGAAAAUUCGAUUCCCUUAGUAGCGGCGAGCGAAACGGGAAGAGCCCAAACCAACAAGCUUGCUUGUUGGGGUUGUAGGACACUCUAUACGGAGUUACAAAGGACGACAUUAGACGAAUCAUCUGGAAAGAUGAAUCAAAGAAGGUAAUAAUCCUGUAGUCGAAAAUGUUGUCUCUCUUGAGUGGAUCCUGAGUACGACGGAG